rnacentral:rRNA from 1 species
UUGGUCCUACGGGACGCAGCAGUGGGGAAUAUUGCACAAUGGGGGAAACCCUGAUGCAGCGACGCCGCGUGAGUGAGGAAGUAUUUCGGUAUGUAAAGCUCUAUCAGCAGGGAAGAAAAUGACGGUACCUGACCAAGAAGCCCCGGCUAACUACGUGCCAGCAGCCGCGGUAAUACGUAGGGGGCAAGCGUUAUCCGGAUUUACUGGGUGUAAAGGGAGCGUAGGCGGCUGUGUAAGCCAGAAGUGAAAGCCCGAGGCUCAACCACGGGACGGCUUUUGGACCAACAUGGCUUGAUUGCAGGAGG